rnacentral:rRNA from 1 species
UACAGAGGUGGCAAGCGUUGUUCGGAAUUACUGGGCGUAAAGGGCGCGUAGGCGGCCAUCUAAGUCGGACGUGAAAUCCCUCGGCUUAACCGGGGAACUGCGUCUGAUACUGGAUGGCUUGAGUUUGGGAGAGGGAUGCGGAAUUCCAGGUGUAGCGGUGAAAUGCGUAGAUAUCUGGAGGAACACCGGUGGCGAAGGCGGCAUCCUGGACCAACACUGACGCUGAUGAGCGAAAGCCAGGGGAGCAAACGGG